GGGGGUGUUUUAGAUUCGACUUGUACGCAAUGAACGGUUAAGCAUACCGAAGGCUCGUCUUCGUAAAAACGGAAAACUAUAAAUUAAAUAACAACACUAAUAAUUACGAGCUCGCUGCAGCCUAGUCGCAGCCGUCGAUGUAAAUAGUUCUGCGGAUUUAUAUUCGGCGUGUUUUAGCAGAGAACGGUUCUUCCUUUCGUCCGGCGGGAAGAACGGCAUUACGGACUCGGGAACGACGGGGUUUGCCUGAUAGACUUUCGUUCCGACGUUAUCAAUCAAAGCUAAGUAUGUAGAAAAAUCUUUUUGACCGUAUGAGUACACGGGUGCAAGUCCCGUCAUCUCCACCA
rnacentral:tmRNA from 1 species